UACAGAGGUCUCAAGCGUUUGUUCGGAUUCAUUGGGCGUAAAGGGUGCGUAGGUGGCGCCGUAAGUCGGGUGUGAAAUCCCCCAGGCUUAACCUGGGAACUGCAUUCGAGACUGCAUUGCUAGAGUAUGGGGAGAGGGAAGUGGAAUUUCCGGUGUAGCGGUGAAAUGCGUAGAUAUCGGAAGGAACAUCAGUGGCGAAAGCGACUUCCUGGACCAAUACUGACGUCAUGUGCGAAAAGCG
rnacentral:rRNA from 1 species